GGUCAAGCGGGUAAGGGCAUACGGUGGAUGCCUUGGCAUCAAGGGCCGAUGAAGGGCGUAGCAAGGCUGCGAUAAGCCCCGGUGAGCUGUCUAGCAAGCCUAACCGGGGAUUCCCGAAUGGGGCAACCCGCUCAGGUAAACCCUGAGCACCCCCAGCUGAACACAUAGGCUGGGUGGAGGUAAGCAGGGGAAGUGAAACAUCUCAGUACCCUGAGGAAAGGAAAUUAUUCCCUGAGUAGUGGCGAACGAAAGGGGAGAAGCCCAAACCCGAUAAGCUAAGUGGCGCCGCGGCCUAUGCUUAUCGGGGGUUGUAAGGCAGGUAGGACCGAAUUCGGAAUAGGUCAAGGAGUUAACAACCAAACUUUAGUUGAAGGUCUCUGGAAAGGGCCGCCACAGACGGUGAUAGUCCAGUAAACGAAAGAGGUAGGCUCCUUAUCUGUCCUUGAGUACCACGGGACACGAGAAAUCUUGUGGGAAACCGCCCUGACCACAGGGCAAGGCUAAAUACCCUUGAUGACCGAUAGUGAACUAGUACCGUGAGGGAAAGGUGAAAAGAACCCCGGGAGGGGAGUGAAAUAGACCUGAAACCGUAUGCUUACAAGCAGUCAGAGUCUUUCCAGUAAUGGAGGGAUGAUGGCGUGCCUAUUGAAGAAUGAGCCGGUGAGUUAAUCUUUGUGGCUGGUUAAGCAACUCAAGUUGCGGAGCCGAAGCGAAGGCGAGUCUGAAUAGGGCGAUUUGGUCGCAGGGAUUAGACGCG
rnacentral:rRNA from 1 species